CCUUCUUUUUCCUCUUAAUUUCUCUCCAUAAUUAAAAUUAUUUUGAUUCUCUAUCUUUCACUUGUGUUUAAAAAGUCUUUGGUUAAAAGAAGAUAAUUGAUUACAUAUGUUCACUUCAACUUUCAAUAUCAAAGCAAUGUGUAUAAUAAACACUAAAUAUACUCUUAAUUUCUAAUUAAACUUUUAUUGACAAAUAAAUUCUUUUAUGAUGUUUAUGAUCAGUUGAAUUAUGAUUUCUUGAUAUUUGACCAUAAUCUAAAAUAUGAGAUUUUGUCUAGGUGGUUGAAACAAUUUAAGAGAUGAAUGAUGAAACAAAUUGUUCGAAAAAUCAUGUUGGUAAUUUUAAAACACCAUUCGUGGGAAUGACUUUUGAAACAGUAGAAGAAGCUCGAAGUUAUGGUCGACAGAAUGAUUUUAGAUUCGAACUUGAACUUCAUCUAAGACUAAAUGGGUUUUGAAUUAAGCAUCUAGUAGGCUAUUUGUGUGCCCAUCAAGGAAAGCAUUUCCAAAGGGGGGGAAAAACACAUAUGCUGCAGAAGAAAAUGAAUGAAUAGAUGUGCCAAAUGAAGAGAAUAUGAAUAAAGGAGGUAGCGUCAAGCGGGAGUGAAAAAUAGAGAGAAUCAAAACUAUAUUAAUUGUGGAGACAAAUAAGAGGAAAGAAAAGAAAAAAUAUUUAAUAAUAUGCUGCGAGAUUGUUAUUAAUAAAAAAAUAAGAGACAAUAUUUAAUUUGAUUCAUUGAUUUGAUUGUGUUGAAAGACUAAGAUUUUAUAUAUAUUACUGUGUCAAAAAUAGAGGGCUCCCGAUCCUAUCACUUCCCCUAAUUUUUUUCAUUAAUCUCUUAGAAAUCAACAAUUAAUCAUCAAUCCAAAAAAAAAGUGGCUUAAUGAACAUAGGAAAUCUAAUUCACAUCUCAACUUUUAUCAAUUAAA
rnacentral:lncRNA from 1 species